AUUGAACGCUGGCGGCAGGCCUAACACAUGCAAGUCGAGCGAGCGGCGGACGGGUGAGUAAUGUAUGGGACCUCCCGGUAGAGGGGGAUAACUACUGGGAACGGUUGGUAAUACCGCCUACUAUCCGAUAACCCCAAUGGGAUUAGGUAGUAGGUGGGGUAAUGGCCAACCUAGGCGACGAUCCCUAGCUGGUCUGAGAGGAUGAUCAGCCACACUGGGACUGAGACACGGCCCAGACUCCUACGGAGGCAGCAGUGGGGAAUAUUGCACAAUGGGCGCAAGCCUGAUGCAGCCAUGCCGCGUGUAUGAAGAAGGCCCUAGGGUUGUAAAGUACUUUCAGUCGGGAGGCGUUACCGACAGAAGAAGCACCGGCUAACUCCGUGCCAGCAGCCGCGGUAAUUC
rnacentral:rRNA from 1 species